GAGAGAGGUGGUCAGGCUCCUGAUGUUGGAUCUCAGGCUCUAUGGUUUGGGAUUUUCUUUUGGAGACCUUAACCCAAGAUCCGUCCUUCUUGUGAAACUCCAUCUUAUGUAAUGUGCUCUCAUUGUAGUAAUCAGUGUUUCUCAAAGGUUUUUCUGGCUCAUUUUCAGGGAUUGGAACUUUAAAGUGUUUGAACAGUAGGGUGAAGACCAUCCCAUAUAGUAUGCUAAAUCU
rnacentral:lncRNA from 1 species